UAGCCUCCAUUGGUGCCAGCCAGGGAUCUGUAUCCACAACACAAUCAUUUUUACAUGUUUUGAGGAGAAGGGCAAGGGGUCCCUUUACAUCGCUUAAGGUUAUACACUAUGGAUGCUGCCCUUCCUCAGCCGAGUUUGAGCAGGUGAAGAAUUACAGUCUCCACCCCAGGAGACCAGCAUAAGCUCAGGGAGAGAGAAAGGACUUGCUCAGGUGGAGGAAGUGCUGAAUCUAGUCAACCCUGUGGCUAAGCGUCACCGCCACCCAGCGUGCUUCCUGCCCUUGACCUCCUAAGAGCAGUCGAUGGGCUGAGCCUUCCGUCAGUGAGUUCUGAGUAGGGGCCUGGGCUCAGGAGCACGUGACUACUGGGUCAGCUCAUGCCAGUGCUGAAGGGUGCCCAGCAAAUAAUGAAAUGUAAGUUUUUAGUCACACGGAGCCAAGGCGUAACAAAAGAGAGG